GAACACAGACAUAGCAUUUGGUAAGGAAAGGAAAAAAGCAGGCGAUGGAGGGACCAUUUGGAGAUCUACAAAAGCGCAGGACAUCAACUCAUCCAGUCCAGCUUCCUGUACCUAUUUAACAGUGACAGGUUCCUGGCGAGGCAGACUGAUGCAGGCACAGUUCCUGAUGGAUGAAGAGGGAAGAAACUGAGCUGGAAAAGGACCAAAUAUAUUUUGAGUGUGCAGCAGCAAGGAAGUGAGUGAAAAAAGGAGAGAUGGGAGACCAGCAUGGGCAUAACAAGAUUGGCAGCCUGACCAUGGAAGAGAGUCAUAAGGAAAAGGGACUCAUCUCGCCCAGUUAUAAGCCUUCUAAGGGGAGCACGCCAGGCUGAAAGAGGCUGCCUGGAUCACCUUGUGGGAAUCUUCCUGCUGAUUCAGUUACCGGGCAGAAGAGGCAGGCGGUCUAACACUUCCCUCCCCCUCCCAUAGUACCUGUACGGUUAGAGGCUCCGAAUGAGAUAAAACAGUGUUUUGAUAACAUCUCACUUCUGUUUAAUAUCAAGCCUUGGAGAGUUCAUAAAUAAAACAAGUGCUGGCUGGGAGUUCUCAUUGGCUCGAGAGCUCACAGCUUUUUGUCAGUCCCUGUCACUGCUAUCUUGUCUCCAGAGGAUGCAGAGAGAUGUGGAUACUUGCUAAUCAACCAGCACUUCUGCAUCACCCGAACCCCACAGUGAAAACCCGUUGUCCGCUCGUUGCAAUUCUUGUAUGAAAUAUUUUGUGCUUGUUUGACAAAG